ACUCUCUCUCACACUCAUUUCCAAACCAGAGCACCUUGUUCUUCCCUGGUUGUAAAUUUCAAAAUUUCAGCCUCCAAUAACCACUCUUAAAUAGAGAAGAAAAGAAGAGAGAAAAGAAAGAUCAAGUGCAUCAAGUGGAAACCUCCUCUCCUCUCUCUUUUGUUUCACUAAUCUUUGAGUUCUUGUGUUCUUGUUGUUCUUCGUGUUCUUCAGGAAAGAUGAACCAAAAAGUUGGAGGUGCACUCAGGAGCAUCGGGAGAACACACUCCUUCCGUAGCACCCGAAGCCGUUCGUCAUCUUUAAGAACCUUCACGUACCGGUUCCACAAUGGACAUCGAUUCUCCAUCACCUUCCGAGCAUCACACCCCAUCAUCCUGUUCCCAACGGGAAAAGUGGUGCUUCACAUGAGCCACAUCAGCCAUGGUCCACCCACUCAGGAUGGGAGAACGAAGCCACAUAUGAGCAAGGAGAGCCGUCUACAUCCACAGAAUGGGGAAUAUUCCCCACACAGGUGCCAGAUAACACCAGACAUGAUUUCCAGAGGGGCCGUGCAUCAUUUUCUGUGCACAGAAAUAUGGACCACGCUACUGGUGGAGCGUACCCGUUUCAUGCACCACCAACAAAUGAAUACAUGCCGCCACCUGAACAGCACUUCGGGACUCCUAUUAAUGAUUACCUUGCCAUAUCCUUGCAUCUCACUAACUUGCAGCAGGGACAACAGACGAUGAACGACACCUUGCACCGACAUGAGCAGUGGCAGCAUCACAUUGAUGGUAGCUUUCAGUAGCAGGAGCAGUGGCAGCACCAGGCGGACCAGCAGUUCAGAUAGGUACAUAAAGGACAGCAGCACAUGCAGACUGGAUGAAAGUACCUGAUAGAGCAGAUGGGGUUCCAACCACCACCUCCACUAUAUUAUUGAACCCGGCAACAUUCAGCUUGGCGGAGAGCCCCCGCGAGGGUUUAUUUCACAGAGAGCUGAAAAGAGGGAUUCAAGUGCAAAAUAAACAUGAAACUUAUCCGCGACGCAACAACAUCGCCAACAGGGUCAGGAAGACUCUAGAAGACACCCGAAGCAACAGACCGACAGAGGUCACUAGGUGCACCCUGGCGCCGCCCGGCCCCUAUGGUUAGGGUUGGCUCCCCCCUUCUGGAAGCUUCCUCCACCGCCUCUCUUGAUGCAUCUCGGCCCUUGGUGAAGUCGGUUUGAUCCUACAGCGCACAUGCACUCCACUAGGCUAUAAAUAGAGGGGCAGACCCCCCUCCCAAAGACACCCCAGAUUCAAUUCAUUCCUCCAGCUUCAUUUAUCAAAAGUAGUCAGAAGUUAGGGUUUCCAGAGAUUAGAAGUAGAGCUCUAGUUCUUCGAGUUCUUAGUAUAGGCGUCUAGCGAGGUUCAAGUAGAGAUCGGGCGCUCCGCUCGGGAUUCCAGAUCUAUCUUCUAGAAAUUGGUAAUAUUAUGUUGUAUUUCAUUAUGACUUUGCUCUACUUCAAUAUAUUGCUAUUUAUUCA